rnacentral:lncRNA from 1 species
AAUCCCUUAAUCUAACCCUAACUCAUCUCAAUUUAACACAAUUCCUCCUUGAGAUAUCUCUUUUCUUCUUCUUUCUUCAUCUUCAUCUACAUCUCAUUUCCUCCACCAACAACAUCUUCUUCUUCUUCUUCUUGUUAGAAAAAAUAUGGAAUUUUAAUUCUUAGAAAUUAGGGAAUUUUCAGAUUUCAAAUUAGGGAAUUUUCAUGAUUUUGCUCAAAGUUCAAAUUUCAAAUUAGGGAAUUUUAAUUCUUAGAAAUUAGGGAAUUUUCAAAUUAGGUAGAUUUAAUUCUUAGAAAUUAGGGAAUUUCAAUUUAAAAAAAAUAAAAAUAAAAAAGGGACGGUUUUCAAAUUUCGCUCAAAGUUCAGGGAUGGAUAAAAAUUAAAAAAAGGCUCUUACCGGAGCUAAGGCGGCCGGAGGGACGGGUCAAAUUAGUUUUCAAUAGUUCAGGGACGGUUUUCAAAUAAUUUUUCGGAGAGGGACGGUUUUCAAACGAUGUCUAAAGUUCAGGGACGAUUAAAGUAUUUAACCCUAUAAAUUAUGAUAAAAUCUUAAUUAUUUAAUAUCUAUAAAAAAUAUAAAAUGAAAUUUUCAUCCUCUGACUCUUUUCCAGUGGCUGCAGUUUUGUGCUUACCCCCUAUUGUGUCUAUCUGUUUCAAAUUUGCAAUUCUUCACUACACUCAAAACCUGCUCUCUGACACAAAAAAAAAAAAAAAAAUUCCCUCCCAACAUUCUGUUAUCUUCCACCAUGGCCACCACCACCAUCACAACAACAACAACAGAGCGAGACAUCUCACGUGCUUCCCGCAUGCACGACUACACCACCACAGACGAUGAAGACGAAGAUGUCGUUGAAGACAGCGAGGAGGACAACCAAGAAGAAAGAGNNNNNNNN